rnacentral:misc_RNA from 1 species
GUGUCACAUCAUAAACUGCAAUAACAGCAAACUGCUGAUUAUACUUUGGGUAUUCAUACAUAUUUCAAAAUAUGCUACAAACAUAAUCCAACAACGAUUGGCAGAAUAACAGUGAAAAUUUUGGCCAAUAGCACAUCCGUGACCAGAAUAAUCGAACAUCAGUUUCAUGUCAGUUAAAAAUGCACUAACUAGUCAACCACAACAAUAUGCAAGUGUAAGCAAUCAGAUGCUCAUAAAUGAGUAAAAAAAAAAAA